GAUGAAGAACGCAGCGAAAUGCGAUAAGUAAUGUGAAUUGCAGAAUUCAGUGAAUCAUCGAAUCUUUGAACGCACAUUGCGCCCCUUGGUAUUCCGAGGGGCAUGCCUGUUCGAGCGUCAUUAUAACCCCUCAAGCUCAGCUUGGUGUUGGGGCCUGCCGCACGGGCAGCCCUUAAAAUCAGUGGCGGUGCCAUCUGGCUCUAAGCGUAGUAAUUCUUCUCGCUAUAGAGUCCCGGUGGAUGCUUGCCAUUAACCCCCAAUUUUCUAUGGUUGACCUCGGAUCAGGUAGGGAUACCCGCUGAACUUAAGCAUAUCAAUAGCGGAGGA
rnacentral:misc_RNA from 1 species